GAUCUUUAUCUGCAGGUCCCUCUUACUUUUUAAUCGCAUGGUUUUCCUUUAAGGGUCAGUCUGCGUCACUGAAUUUCCCAGGGUUUCUUUCCCCUGGAGGGCUCAGUAAAUGUCAGUUCAGGAAGACUUGGAGUUUGUGGUCAGCCAGGAACACGGGCAAGACGACGUGCAACUUGCUUGCUGACGCAGUCCCCGGACCUGCAGGGCCUAUGUGCCGAGAUCCCCAGUGGGUACCCGAAAGUACCGAUCGCACCGAGCUCUCUCUCUUGUUUCUUCCUGUAUGUGUUGCAGAGCUGUCACGUGGUGCCAGGGUUAAUCUCCCAACCAUGUUUUAUGCCCUGAUGCCUCUUUUGCAUCAUUAGUCUUUCACUUGGGGGGGGGGUGUUUAAAGUAAAAUAAUGAUUUGACCACAAAACGCUGCAGUACCACGACUGCGCUCCUGAUAACUGAACUCAUUACUACGUGGCCAAUCAGCAGGUCGUGUCUGCAGUAUUGAUACAAUGGAUGAAGGGAUGACCCCUGUCCCAGGUGGGGCAAACCAGGAGAUUUCAUCAUGCUACCCCAAGUGAUAUGCAGUUUA
rnacentral:lncRNA from 1 species